CAACUACUCCCUCCGUCCGGAAAUACUUGUCAUGAAAAUGGAUGUAUCUAGAUGUAUUUUAGUUCUAGAUGCAUCCAUUUUUAUACAUUAUGCGACAAGUAAUUCCGGACGGAGGGAGUAUAAA
rnacentral:pre_miRNA from 1 species